rnacentral:rRNA from 1 species
UCCGUAGCUUGCACUGUAAGUCUCUUGUGAAAUCGGGCAUCUUAAGUGUCCGUCGGGCAAGAGAUACUGCUUUGCUAGAGACCGGGAGGCGUAAGAAGUACAGAUAGGGUAGCGGUAAAAUGUGUUGAUCCUUUCUGGACUCACAGUCGCGAAGGCGUCUUACGAGAACGGAUCUGACAGUGAGGGAUGAAGGCUAGGGGCGCAAAGUGGAUUAGAUACCCAUGUAGUCCUAGCAGUAAACACUGCACACUGAACAUUAGGGCCUCUUAGAGAGGUUCUAGUGCUGUACCGAAGGGGGAAAGUGUGCUACCUGGGAAGUAUAGCCGCAAGGCCGAAACUUAAAGGAAUUGGCGGGGGAGCACA